GCCCUAGUAACGGCGAGUGAAGCGGCACAGCUCAAAUUUGAAAUCUGGCCUUCGGGUCCGAGUUGUAAUUUGCAGAGGAUGCUUUUGGCGCGGUGCCUUCCGAGUUCCCUGGAACGGGACGCCUUAGAGGGUGAGAGCCCCGUACGGUUGGACACCAAGCCUCUGUAAAGCUCCUUCGACGAGUCGAGUAGUUUGGGAAUGCUGCUCUAAAUGGGAGGUAAAUUUCUUCUAAAGCUAAAUACCGGCCAGAGACCGAUAGCGCACAAGUAGAGUGAUCGAAAGAUGAAAAGCACUUUGAAAAGAGGGUUAAAUAGCACGUGAAAUUGUUGAAAGGGAAGCGUUUACGGCCAGACCUUUUCCUGGCGGAUCAUCUGGUGUUCUCACCAGUGCACUUCGCCAGGUUUAGGCCAGCAUCGGCUUCCGUAGGGGGAUAAAAGCAGUGGGAAAGUAGCUCCCUCGGGAGUGUUAUAGCCCUAAGCAUAAUACCCUUACGGGGGCCGAGGACCGCGCUUUUGCAAGGAUGCUGGCGUAAUGGUCGUCAACGACCCGUCUUGAAACACGGACCAAGGAGUCGAACAUUUGUGCGAGUGUUUGGGUGUUAAACCCUCACGCGUAAUGAAAGUGAACGGAGGUGAGAGCCCUUUAGGGUGCAUCAUCGACCGAUCCUGAUGUCUUCGGAUGGAUUUGAGUAAGAGCAUAACUGUUCGGACCCGAAAGAUGGUGAACUAUGCGUGGAUAGGGUGAAGCCAGAGGAAACUCUGGUGGAGGCUCGCAGCGGUUCUGACGUGCAAAUCGAUCGUCAAAUCUGCGCAUGGGGGCGAAAGACUUAUCGAACCAUCUAGUAGCUGGUUACCGCCGAAGUUUCCCUCAGGAUAGCAGUGUUGUCUUCAGUUUUAUGAGGUAAAGCGAAUGAUUAGGGACUCGGGGGCGCUUAUUAGCCUUCAUCCAUUCUCAAACUUUAAAUAUGUAAGAAGCUCUUGUUGCUUAGUUGAACGUGAGCAUUCGAAUGUACCAACACUAGUGGGCCAUUUUUGGUAAGCAGAACUGGCGAUGCGGGAUGAACCGAACGCGGGGUUAAGGUGCCGGAGUGGACGCUCAUCAGACACCACAAAAGGUGUUAGUACAUCUAGACAGCAGGACGGUGGCCAUGGAAGUCGGAAUCCGCUAAGGACUGUGUAACAACUCACCUGCCGAAUGUACUAGCCCUGAAAAUGGAUGGCGCUCAAGCGUCCCACCCAUACCUCGCCCUCAG
rnacentral:rRNA from 1 species